rnacentral:rRNA from 1 species
GACGAACCGUGCAAACUUUGGUCGGAAUCCCUUGGCUUAAAGGGCGCGUAGGCGGCUUGCCAAGUCAGGGGUGAAAUCUUUCGGCUUAACCGGAAAAGUGCCUCUGAUACUGGCGAGCUAGAGGGAGGUAGGGGCAUGUGGAACUUCCGGUGGAGCGGUGAAAUGCGUUGAUAUCGGAAGGAACGCCGGUGGCGAAAGCGACGUGCUGGAUCUCUUCUGACGCUGAGGCGCGAAAGCUAGGGGAGCGAACGGG